UACGUAGGGGGCAAGCGUUGUCCGGAAUCAUUGGGCGUAAAGAGCGUGUAGGCGGCCCGAUAAGUCCGCUGUGAAAGUCCAGGGCUCAACCCUGGAAUGCCGGUGGAUACUGUCGGGCUCGAAUCCGGAAGAGGUGAGUGGAAUUCCUGGUGUAGCGGUGAAAUGCGCAGAUAUCAGGAGGAACACCAAUGGCGAAGGCAGCUCACUGGGACGGUAUUGACGCUGAGACGCGAAAGCGUGGGGAGCGAACGGG
rnacentral:rRNA from 1 species